ACCAGAAAAAAGGGCGAGAGUAGAAGAGUUCAAAGUCCUUCUUCAUACAAAGCAAGUUGUUAUAAACAGCCUACAGUUAUGGGAUAGAGAAAAAAGCAAACAUUGGAUGCAUUUCCUCUGUAAAAUGAAUUGAUGCCUAGAUCUCCAGUGUUCCAACAGGAGGAGGCACUGGCCUGGGAGAAAACACACCCAUUACAGAAAGAGACGGUGAUGAAGAGAAAGUACAGACUGAAAGGGAAUGAGGAAAGAAGGGGAGAGCAUUGCCUAAGGAGCGAAAGUGCGUGUUCUUUAAGUGCAAUGAGGAUCUACCACAUUAUAAAAGACGAGGGAAUCAGAUGCUGAAAGAUACAUAAAGUGAUGCAGUGGAGAAAAAGAAAGAGAAGGAGGAGAACCAAAAGCAACACAGAUGCAUAGCAGCUAGAAGCCGCAGCCAUGAAUCAAGACCACAAUGUUGUACGUGUUGCCUUAGGGAAAAAAACUGCAGAGAAGAGCCUGCCAGAGACUCCAACCAAAGCAGGGACCUGUGGAUGCCCAGAGAACUUUUGACAGUUCUGAGUGAACUUUCUCUGCCCUGAACUGAUUAGCUGUUUUCUCUCCAGUUUAUUUAGAGUGGGUUAAAGAAUUGUCAAAAGCAGAGCUGGUUAA